UACAGAGGGUGCGAGCGUUGUUCGGAAUUAUUGGGCGUAAAGCGCUUGUAGGCGGCCUGUUAAGUUCCGUGUGAAAUCCCCUGGCUUAACCAGGGAAGUGCGCGGAAAACUGGCGGGCUUGAGUGCCGGAGAGGGUCGCGGAAUUCCCGGUGUAGAGGUGAAAUUCGUAGAUAUUCGCAAGAACACCAGUGGCGAAGGCGGCUCACUGGCCCGAUACUGACGCUGAGGCACGAAAGCGUGGGGAGCAAACAGG
rnacentral:rRNA from 1 species